rnacentral:tRNA from 1 species
GGAAAUAUAGCUCAGUUGGUAGAGCGUCGCAUUGAAGAUGCGAGCGUCGGCAGUUCGAAUCUGUCUAUUUCCA